CUAUUACUACUGCUACUGAUCUCCCUCUCCCAUCUCACUCCUCCUUCAUGCUUGCCUCUCACGAGAAAGCUUCAAGAUGCUGAGAUCGUCAAAGAUAGCAAAUCACCAUCAGAUCUUGAGAUCAUGUCAUUGGGUGAAGAUAAGCAUGUUCCAAGGAAAGAGUUGCAUGAAGUACAUUCAGGACCCAAUCCUAUUGGUAAUUCAAUUCCGCAGCAGAAAUGGAAUAAGAGGUCACCAAAAAGUCC
rnacentral:misc_RNA from 1 species